GUGGGGAAUAUUGCACAAUGGGGGAAACCCUGAUGCAGCGACGCCGCGUGAGCGAUGAAGUAUUUCGGUAUGUAAAGCUCUAUCAGCAGGGAAGAAGAUGACGGUACCUGACUAAGAAGCCCCGGCUAACUACGUGCCAGCAGCCGCGGUAAUACGUAGGGGGCAAGCGUUAUCCGGAUUUACUGGGUGUAAAGGGAGCGUAGACGGCGGUGCAAGCCAGAUGUGAAAGCCCGGGGCUCAACCCCGGGACUGCAUUUGGAACUGUAUGGCUGGAGUGUCGGAGAGGCAGGCGGAAUUCCUAGUGUAGCGGUGAAAUGCGUAGAUAUUAGGAGGAACACCAGUGGCGAAGGCGGCCUGCUGGACGAUGACUGACGUUGAGGCUCGAAAGCGUGGGGAGCAAACAGGAUUAGAAACCCUAGUAGUCC
rnacentral:rRNA from 1 species